rnacentral:misc_RNA from 1 species
UCCAGGGGCUGAAAACCACUCCAUCAGCCGCUCAAAUGCUGCAUUAUCCUGAUUUCUGAGAACACUGGUUCAUGUUAUACCCCUGGCCCUUGUCGGCGAGAUUGCUUGAUCUCAAUACAAACUCGCAUUUGCAAUUGGGAAAUUGUUGGCAGCUAGAUGGAAAAUUAUUUUUUUACAUAUAAUGAAAUUUCUUAAGGAGAAAGUGAAACUCACCAUAUAAAUAUGUCAAAGUGAAACUCACCAUGAAAAUAUGUCUAAGGUUUGUG